GCCGGUGUAGCUCAGUUGGUAGAGCACCUGAUUUGUAAUCAGUAGGUCGCGGGUUCGAAUCCCGCCGCCGGCC
rnacentral:tRNA from 1 species